rfam:Chlamydiae bacterium RIFCSPHIGHO2_12_FTLL_49_9 rifcsphigho2_12_scaffold_19521, whole genome shotgun sequence.
UGGGGCGUCGCCAAGUGGUAAGGCAGCGGUUUUUGGUACCGCCACUCGGAGGUUCGAAUCCUUCCGCCCCAA